rnacentral:lncRNA from 1 species
UGUCGAAACUUUUUCUUCCACCGUCAAACGAAUUUAGCAUGCGAUUUCUUAUUUGAACGUAAACUCUAUCAUCAUAAAUAUAUCUAACCACAAGUAAUCCAUUGUAAAGCAACAAUUCAAUAAAUUUGCAAUUCACAGAAUUUACAAUUAGUUGCCGUAGAACAUAUAUAUGUAUAUAUAAUAUAGAGUUAACAUACGUUCAAAUUGCUUAUACACAGUCGUUGUUAAACACAGAAAUCGUUGUGGAAAUCCUAAGCUUCUCUCAAAUUCUCUCUCAAGUUCAUCUCUGAACUUCUUAGCUUUCUUCUCUUAGGUUUAGACUAGACAACUAACUAGAAUACGUAAAAAUAAAACUGAUAUAAUACUAAUACAUAUACUUAUUAGGAUAUCAGUUAUAUAAAAAU